AGAGUUUGAUCAUGGCUCAGAUUGAACGCUGGCGGCAUGCCUUACACAUGCAAGUCGAACGGUAACAGGUCUUCGGAUGCUGACGAGUGGCGAACGGGUGAGUAAUACAUCGGAACGUGCCCGAGAGUGGGGGAUAACGAGGCGAAAGCUUUGCUAAUACCGCAUACGAUCUCAGGAUGAAAGCAGGGGACCGCAAGGCCUUGCGCUCACGGAGCGGCCGAUGUCAGAUUAGGUAGUUGGUGGGGUAAAGGCUCACCAAGCCGACGAUCUGUAGCUGGUCUGAGAGGACGACCAGCCACACUGGGACUGAGACACGGCCCAGACUCCUACGGGAGGCAGCAGUGGGGAAUUUUGGACAAUGGGCGCAAGCCUGAUCCAGCAAUGCCGCGUGCAGGAAGAAGGCCUUCGGGUUGUAAACUGCUUUUGUACGGAGCGAAAAGGCUUCCACUAAUACUGGGGGCUCAUGACGGUACCGUAAGAAUAAGCACCGGCUAACUACGUGCCAGCAGCCGCGGUAAUACGUAGGGUGCGAGCGUUAAUCGGAAUUACUGGGCGUAAAGCGUGCGCAGGCGGUUAUGUAAGACAGAUGUGAAAUCCCCGGGCUCAACCUGGGAACUGCAUUUGUGACUGCAUAGCUAGAGUACGGCAGAGGGGGAUGGAAUUCCGCGUGUAGCAGUGAAAUGCGUAGAUAUGCGGAGGAACACCGAUGGCGAAGGCAAUCCCCUGGGCCUGUACUGACGCUCAUGCACGAAAGCGUGGGGAGCAAACAGGAUUAGAUACCCCGGUAGUCC
rnacentral:rRNA from 1 species